UACGGAGGGUGCAAGCGUUGUCCGGAAUCACUGGGCGUAAAGGGCGCGUAGGCGGCUCAUGAAGGCUGUGGUGAAAUCCCCGGGCUCAACCUGGGAACUGCAUUUGUGACUGUAGAGCUGGAGUACGGCAGAGGGGGAUGGAAUUCCGCGUGUAGCAGUGAAAUGCGUAGAUAUGCGGAGGAACACCGAUGGCGAAGGCAAUCCCCUGGGCCUGUACUGACGCUCAUGCACGAAAGCGUGGGGAGCAAACAGG
rnacentral:rRNA from 1 species